UUGAUUUGAAUGGAAGUGGCACAAGUAACCAUCUAAACCUAUAAUAUAUCACAAAAAAAUGGUCUCUUCGUAAUGACAUCAUGGUUUAACGUCAUAUCGAAAUAUUAAGCGGCAAAAAAUGUCGUAUUGACGUAUCAACAAUUUGAUGGCGCACCGACAUUGAAUAGUCGGACCCAAGGAUUCAUUUUAAUUCGAAAUGUAAUAAAAUAAAAAAACUCAGCUUAUUUACAACAUUAUCAGCAUGUUACUAAUCUUCUCAAGGGGUGCGGGUAAGCAAUAAACAAUUGAUGCUAGUAAAAAUUUAUAGUAAAUAUCCGGACCUUUUCUUAUGUCAAGACUUUGCACACAAAAGAAAAUAAUCAAUCGCAGCAAGAUGUAUGAUGAACAUUUACGCUUGGAACGAACAAUGAUUCACAUAUCUUCAGCCCAUAACAAUGCUGUAAAGACGAAAAUACUAAACCAGCCAUAUCCUAAAUGUAAACCAACAAAUAAUUGAAUAAUAAAUAAAACAAACAAAUGUACAGUAAAAUCGACAAUCACCAAAUUUCUACUGCUAAUGGAAAACAACAAGUCCCUAUCAAAACUUGAAUGAACCAGAAAACAGUGGCUUUGUCAUCUAUUCGGGACUCCAAUUUGACACCAAUGUACAUCAAUUAAAUGACUUUCAAACAAAACCAGAAAAAGAACUUGACUUAAUCAAUCAGAUAGAGCAUAUCACAAAUCAAACCUAAUACAUACGAAUCAUAAUAAACAAAUUUUGAAAGAGGAUUUACCACCCAGGACCGACGAUGUGUUGCAGGUAGUUGGUGAAUAGCUCGUGACGGUUGAAGCGGAAACGGAAGAAGUGAGUGGUUCGUAGCAGAAUCAAAGUGUAACAGCAGCAAUCACUUGAAAUCGAUCAUCUACCUAACAUACCCAUGCCUCUAAAGCUCACAAUGAUGGGCUUCAAACUUUCCCUGUAAACAUCAAAUAUUUCCAACAGCAACACAUUUCCAACAAAUCAGUUAGACAAGAAUCAAAUUUUUUACAGGGAUGGUUGAGAGGUAGUGCGAAAUGGGUUUGGUUUUAAGGGUUUGGCAUUAACGGAGGGUGGAUUUGGUUUCGGCGAUGAGGAAAGUCUGAGCGGCGAGAAGUAGAUCGGAGAGAGUCGUGAGGGCUUCGAUUUUCGUUGUGAGGGGAAAAUGAAGAGUUUAUGGUGGUUGUUGAAGGGUGAUUUGACGGUGAGAGGAGGCGAUGAAGACGAAGAGGGUUUCGGAUUUAAGGAAGAAGGAGGGUUUGCGAUUGGGAGUUAUUGAGUAAGGGAUUUCGCCGGUGGGGCGAUUUGGGGAGCGUUGGAGCUGGAUGGUGGUUUUGGGUGGUGAAGUGGAGGCAGAGUUUUGUGAUGGUUAAGAAGUUUGAAGGUGGUGUCGCGAUGAUGAUGAGGAGCGGAUGGUGUAUAACGAGAGUGAAAGGGUUUUUUCGCGAGCGUUGUGGUUGGAGGUUUGUAUGGUGGUAGGCGGCUUUUGGAGAGUGAAGAAGAUGAGAGGAGUUUGAGAGAGGCGAGGGUUUGUGGGUUCUUUUUCUCAGGAGAAAAAUUGUGAGGUGAGGGAAGAGAGAUUGAUUUGUGUGUUUUUCGUGACAUUGUGAGUGAGGUCAGAGUGAGAGGAUGAAGGUGAGUGGGUAGCGAUUUUUUUUAGAGAGUUUUUUUGAGUGAGUGAUUCAGAGUGAGUCCGUUGUGAGAGUUUUCGUGAGAAUGAAUAGUGAGUGAGUGAAAUAAUUUGUUUUUUUCAGCUGAGAGUGAGAGAGGUUGGAGAGUUUUUUAGGGAGAAACGGAUUUUUGUUGGUGGUGAGGGGGAUGGAGGAUUUUGUUUGUGUUGAGAGACGUUCGGGUCUUCUUCCAGAGAGUUUUGUGAGUAUAUGAUGAGGGAGAGUGAUUUGUGUGAGAGGAUUUUGUUGGGAGUGGCAGUGGUAGUGGAGCGACAUGUGAGAGCUA
rnacentral:lncRNA from 1 species